rnacentral:rRNA from 1 species
CAUAAGCGGAGGAAAAGAAACCAACCGGGAUUGCCUUAGUAACGGCGAGUGAAGCGGCAAAAGCUCAAAUUUGAAAUCUGGUACCUUCGGUGCCCGAGUUGUAAUUUGGAGAGGGCAACUUUGGGGCCGUUCCUUGUCUAUGUUCCUUGGAACAGGACGUCAUAGAGGGUGAGAAUCCCGUGUGGCGAGGAGUGCGGUUCUUUGUAAAGUGCCUUCGAAGAGUCGAGUUGUUUGGGAAUGCAGCUCUAAGUGGGUGGUAAAUUCCAUCUAAAGCUAAAUAUUGGCGAGAGACCGAUAGCGAACAAGUACAGUGAUGGAAAGAUGAAAAGAACUUUGAAAAGAGAGUGAAAAAGUACGUGAAAUUGUUGAAAGGGAAGGGCAUUUGAUCAGACAUGGUGUUUUGUGCCCUCUGCUCCUUGUGGGUAGGGGAAUCUCGCAUUUCACUGGGCCAGCAUCAGUUUUGGUGGCAGGAUAAAUCCAUAGGAAUGUAGCUUGCCUCGGUAAGUAUUAUAGCCUGUGGGAAUACUGCCAGCUGGGACUGAGGACUGCGACGUAAGUCAAGGAUGCUGGCAUAAUGGUUAUAUGCCGCCCGUCUUGAAACA